GGUUCAAUGGUGUAUUGGUGCACGCCUGCAGAAUAUAACACCCCCUUCCAGCAACUACUGCAGGAGGUGCCCGUUCGACUCGGGCUUGGACCA